AUUGAACGCUGGCGGCAUGCCUUACACAUGCAAGUCGAACGGCAGCACGGGAGCAAUCCUGGUGGCGAGUGGCGAACGGGUGAGUAAAGUAUCGGAACGUGCCCAGUCGUGGGGGAUAACGUAGCGAAAGUUACGCUAAUACCGCAUACGAUCUAUGGAUGAAAGCGGGGGAUCGCAAGACCUCGCGCGAUUGGAGCGGCCGAUAUCAGAUUAGGUAGUUGGUGGGGUAAAGGACCACCAAGACGACGAUCUGUAGCUGGUAUGAGAGGACGACCAGCCACACUGGGACUGAGACACGGCCCAGACUCCUACGGGAGGCAGCAGUGGGGAAUUUUGGACAAUGGGCGAAAGCCUGAUCCAGCCAUGCCGCGUGCAGGAUGAAGGCCUUCGGGUUGUAAACUGCUUUUGUACGGAACGAAAAGGACUGCCCUAAUACGGUGGUCCCAUGACGGUACCGUAAGAAUAAGCACCGGCUAACUACGUGCCAGCCGCCGCAGUAA
rnacentral:rRNA from 1 species